GCCUACAAAGUUGCAUGAAAAAUGGAUAAAAUCUUUGGAGAAAGGAAAAAUAACAUGGAAAAAAAAUAAGGUCCUACGCAGGGGAUAGAAAAAAAUCACUAUUGUCUAGAUGUUUCUGGACUUUUCCCUCUUAGCUUUGUCCGUCUUUUGCCAUACGUGAUACGCGUCUUAACAAUCAAACUUUAAGGCUGUCAGCGAGAUUGGUAACCAUUUUAAAUCUUCUGUACGGGAUUGACGGAGCCAUUCCUACAAACAAGGUGAUGUUGCAGGCCCUGGUAAAUCUGACAGUCCACAGAUUGCCUCGGUCAAGCCUAUUGAAAUGGAAGGGACCAACAUCAAUCAAGCAUCAUCACCUUCCAAUGUUAGUCAACAUGCUGAAAAGAAUAUUCUGGAUGAUGGUAUUGAGCCAAAGCAUGGGAUAUUGUUGAAGAAGUAAAACCGUUUGUAACAAUUGCUCUGGAUUCACUGUUUGAUACGAUUUUGAUAGUUUUAAGGCUCCAUCAACUCUCCUGGAUGAGUUUUUAUUAGUGACACCACAAUUCUAUCUGCAUUCUUUAGUCCAGUAAUGGUCGUAUAUGAUGACACAAAGACACCUGCACAGCGCAAUAGACAACCAUCUAAGAUAUGUCGAUCUCCUUUUUUAUGUAUUUUGGCUCCAGUUUCAAAGGAAAGGAAAAAAUUAUUUUUGCUGAGCAUAAAAUAAUACCCUUUUGAAGGUUCUAACA